CAAGGAGAGCAGCUUGUUUUUGUUACAUCUGGUGUUUUUAUGGGACUGUGAGACAGGCAGCUUGGAGAGCCGGGAAAAGCAGUGACACGGGAGCCAGGACUGAGUAAAGGUGUGAAGAAGAGAUCAGGGAUGGGGGUGCAAUGUAAGCAACCACCCCCAGAAGUUUUACAGAAGUGCAGCCAGUAAAUAGAGUUUGUAGGUGGAGGCCCUGGGUUUUGUAUUCCAGGUGAGCAAUCUCCUAGUGGAUCUGCAGAAUCCCUGAGGGUGCAGGGCUAAGGAGGAGGAAAUGAAGACAUGUCAAGCAUGAAGAAUCAUAACUCGGUGUUUGGCUGCACUGUUGUGUGAGUCUGUCCAUCACUGUAUGAAACCUCUGUGACAGGCAGGGAUUUGUCACGAGUAGAGCCUGGUGUGUGAAAUCAACCUUCUCUUCUGCUCUGUCUGAGAAAAAGAGAGCACCUCUAUCAUACAAUCCCACUUCUAAUUACAAAUAAUUUAUAACCUACAGUCCUAAAGCAGCUUGGGAGGAAUUAUUUCAACAAUGUAUUCUUAAUCAUGUAUUGCAAGACCAAAUUGGAAUAAUGCUUUUAAACUUGAAACAUUCUUCAUCUGAUCUAAUAUUACAGCUAAUCCAUCAGGAAUGGAUCCUGAAGUCUCUUAAAAAAGGCUGUUGCUGGUGUAAAUGGAUAUAAUGCUAGCAUUGUCUUGCCAAAUAGAAAGUGAUACUAUAAGUCCUCAUAGUGGCAAAGACAGAUUGAUAGUUUGUGGAAAGAUAUCCCCAACAACAUCUGAUGGGUACCAGUCUUCAUCCUUGGAUAUCAGUGCUGCAGUUCACCAUGUCAAAAAAAGAUGCAAACGAGAGCCUCGCAGUGAGACAGUCUGUCUUUUGGACACCAGCUUGUCAUCAGAAAUCUCACUAUCACUUCUUCACCUGCUCAUGUGGUACCCAGCUGUGCCUUGCUGGCCCUGCUUUUGCCUGGAGUGUGAGAUUUGCUGUUCAGAGUGAAGGGGUUGAUUUUCACCGACUGUAAUGUUUUAAGCUGACGUGAUAAACUCUUUCUCUAAUGGAAAACCAGUUAAAAAGCAGACCUGGGAGCAGUAAUACCAGCUUGUCACCCAACACUGCUUGCCUUGAGUAGGACAUUUAUUGACCAUGUGUCCAAGGGGGAUCCCAUCAACAGCCCAAGAGAGAAAUGCUGUUCAGAAAAAUCACAGGAUGAUGCUUUGCAGCUCUCACUUGUUCUGAGGACACCCAUGAUCUCCAUCUGUUUUCUCAGAAUUUCUGUGGAAAGUUGGAGGAAGAAGUUGAUCCCACAACAUGUUUGGUCUUGAGAUGGGGUUUUCCCUGGAAUGUCUGAAGGCACCAAAGUUUGCAGCACAUCUGUGCGAGCUGGUCAGUCUGUGGAAACUGCAGAGUUACUCCUGUUUCUUUACCUGCUCCAAGGGAAGUGUUCCUGAGUCAGCAAAGGGAACCCAGCACAUUUUCCAGCAUCCAGGAGGGAAUGCUCGGGAGAAAGACAGGCAAACCCCAGUAAGAGUAAACAGGAGCAAGAGCAGCUUGGAAGGAAGGCCCAAGUGGACACCAGGAGGAAGAGCUGAGCACUCUCACUCUGGCAGUGGGUGGGAAGAUGAAGCAGCCUUGCAGCCAGCUGCUCAGCGUUGGUCACUGCCUGCGAGAAGGAUGGGCCCAUCAGCACGGCUGAGCGCGGCCGUUCAUCACCCAGCACGUGCAGAGGUGGGCUUGGGAGUGACCUUGAGCACCAGCAGCACUUGGCCAAGCCAGUGAUAAUGUCCAUCCCUCAUUUCCAGGCCAAUGGAUUUUUAGGAAGACGAACUGCAUAACAUUUACAUAAAUCAGAAACUGUUGAUGGUUGUCUUUCCAUGCAUUGGGACCAUCCAUGAAGGAAGCUAUAAGGCAUCUUUCAUGUAUGAGGGCACUGAUGCUGAACUAAGAACCACGAAGCAGAGGGGUGGCAAGCUGCUUCCAUUUUCCCUAACUUGGAGUAAAAUCUCAGCUAUACACAUGGAUACAGGAACUACAUCACUUGCUGGCGCUGGCCUGUCCUGAGGACAGCAGGAAUUCUCCAUCAGGAUCUUCACCUGCACCUGUCUCUAGUUCCACAGCUGAGGACACACUGGAAUCUACUUCCCUCCAGACCUGAUUCUGUAAGAGCUUCAGGAAGUCAAGGCCUUGCAAAGGAGGGAGGAUCAUUUUGAGCAGCCUUUUGUGCCAGUCUCUUGAGAAGGUGACAGCUUCACUCCCAGCUAGGAAGAAAGGUUCCCUGACCAUUCUAUCAAGAAAUACACAGGAAAGAACUGUGCCAGAUUACUGCAGAAAAGACGACUCAAUGAAGCAGAAAAACAAUGUUAGUCUUUGGUGGCCAGGGAAAAGGAGGAAAGCUCGUGGUGGUCUCCAGAUGAUCUGGCCCUGACUGAAGCAAAUCUCCUUCCACAAGGAGGGAGCAAAGGCCUGGCAAGUGCAGUGAAGUUACAAUGCUCUGUGAAGGAUUUGAGAGUCAGCUGAGCAUUCUGGUAGUGAACUGUAUCUUAGCGGCACAGAAAGUCCAGUUCCCUGCAGAGAGUCUGAUAUUCAUCCCUGGGGUAACAGCAAACACUGCAAAAUAAAGGAGUUUCACAGGCAUGAUGGAACAACCCAAAAUCAUACUGAUCUGUAAACCUGUGUAGCUGGAGCAGCAGUGUGGUGGUUUGCUUGUCUGUUGUUCACUUUCCUUCUACCAGACUUGCCACAGAAUUUAUUGGGCAACAUUUAAAGGCAAAUUAUGUUUUCUUUCCAAGUGUUGCAAGGGAAUGUCAUAGAGAGAAUUUGGUUCCUAAGCAGCCCUGUUAUCAGUAAGCUAAGAAAAUACAUUAGGAACUUGGAGAUAUUAAAUGCAUCAGGAAGAAGAAAAAAAAAUGGAUUAUGAUAUUUAAACCAGAAUUUUAAUUCCUGGUUUUGAUAUUGCCAGGGUUUCCAUUUCAUGUCAAAAUGGUGCACAUUAGAAUAAAAACCCUGGGAGAAGGGAGAAAGAUGUAAGCUACAAACACUGAAGGUGAUGCUGUCACAGAGUUGGGCCCAAUAUCCACUUCAGCCCUAACCUAAAACCACCAAGAGUUAAAACUUGGGAAGAGUCAGGCCAUCAACACCAAAGGGAGCUGUGCUUUCCAGGAGUGCCUACACCACUCAAAGCCAGGACUUUGCUUCAAAUCUCAUCCCUCACUUCUGGGAUAAAAAGGGGGCUGCUCCAAGGCCACGGAUCAAGGACUGAGCAAGUCCAGGUCACAGUUUUGAAUGUUCCUGCUCAGGACAUGCUAAAGAAUCUAAAAGUUCAGCAAAGUGGCUGCACAUUGGGGCAUGAAAAGUGCACUUACAGGAUUAUUUUUUGCAUUGAAGAGAAAUCAAGCAUUUUCUUCUGUAUAAAGAAAUGUCUUGGACAUGAAGAAGAAAAGGAAUAUGUUAAUCCCUGUGUUACUGAUUUGCUAUUUUAAAAUUCCAGUUGUCCCUGGACUCACUAAGAAUGUAAGAGGGAAACACAGUGAUGAGGGGAUAUAAACCCAAGGGCCAGGACAUAAAGCAGAGGAUAUGAUAUGUCAGAGCAUAGGAACUGGGCUUUUGGAUGAAACCAACACCAGAGAGGUACUCCAGGAAGAAGCUUCCUAAGCUCCGGGCAGUCAAGACUGGAAAUUCAGCAAUCAAGAUUGUGGAAAAUUCAGCCACAUGUAUAGUGUGGAUGUGGGGUUCCCACUGCCAGCUGUGCUUCUGCUCCUGUUUAGCUUUCCAGUGUAGGUAGAGCCAUCUGACACCCAGGUCACUUGGGUGAUUACAUCUUCUCUGAUUAGCAAAAAUGAUGCUUGUUCUGGUAACACACUUGCUUCCAUGUACGGAGAAUCUCAGCACAUCUUGGGCAGAACACAAAGCUCCUUGGGAAUUUCCCUGCUGAAGUCAGUGACACCACGUCUCAUCUGUACAAGGCAAGCACCUCGCAGGUCUUGACAGUGCUUUUGGGCUGCCUCAUGGUGAAGUGGCAGCUACACUCUGUGUCCCAGAAGCAGACAUUAUAGACAGGAAUACACCAGUUGUAGAAAAGACUCCAGAAUAUCACCAAAAAGAGAAUUACCCAAUUUGAAGUCUUUGAUGAAUCAUCAUUCCAGCUUCCAAAUCUCCUGUGAGGAUGAGGAUCUCUGAGCUCACACCUCCUCACCCAGUUCACCCUCUGCCUGCUGGAUGCACACUGCAGAACUGGAACUAACAGAGAAGCCAUCCCUGUGCAGGAUGCUGAGAAGACUGGCAGGACUUCUUGGUCAUUGAAAUGUAACUAUGACAUCUAUCCAAAAGUGCCACUGGAAGAAUGAGGAGUGAAACAGAACAAAAGCCACUACAUUUAUAAACAAGCAGAUGGAGCCUGACUUAGCCAUACUGGAGGUGAAGUGAAGCCUGACCUGUGGAAAGCUGGGAGUGGCAGUGCAGCACCUGCUCAGGUGCCACCUGUGUGACACUGUCAGGAGUCUUCCAAGCUGCCAGCGAGGGAGAGGAGGAUCAGUUUGCAUAGCCUGAGGUAAUGAUGGCUUUGGUGCAGAGAGGAUGGGACGUGCUGGGAUAUAUCUUAGGGUAGAGUCAGCUCACUAAUUCAUACUGUGAAGAAGCUGUGAAGAUGGAAAAUGGAAGUACCUCCUUGCCUUGGUGAAGAAUUAAAGGAUUAAGGCAGGCAGCAGCAGCCUGUGGCCAGAGCACCACAAGAGGGAAGUUGCAGUCAGAGGCCGCUGCUCUUCCCACCUGUGGAUCCCCUUUUUCCCCAGAUGAUGCCGAUACAAGUCAGAAAGAGAGGCCUCCAUGGCCCACACCAGGAUAUCUCCUUUAUUUGUUCAGGUGACAGCAUUUCCUGUGCAAAGGACUGCCAAGUAGCUGCUUAUGAAUGCUGCUCCAAGGCUGUGGGCUGCUCCCCAGCGUGGCUAAUCCAGCAGCAAGCCCUCAGAGGACACCAGUGACUCUGCCUGAUGCUCCCCUGUCCCAUCCUCAGCACGUGAUGCCUUAAAAAUUCUUCAGACUCACAUGAGGUAGAACAUGGGUAUUACUGGGCAUUUCUGCUUUAAGAAAAAGAAGUCUCCUUUUGCUUUUACAGUUUUUUUAUCCCAAAUUAUGGGCUGAUCCAAGGAAGUAUGGCUGCUCUGUCAGCUGGGAGCUGCUCCCUUUCCACUCCAGUUACUUUUUGUGCCAGUAAAGUGUUUGUGUGACAAGUUGAAAAAAUCCCUGUGCACCAAGGUCAGGGUGCAGUGUCUCUCUGUGUCUCUCUCUGUGGAGAUCAGCUUGCAUUACCUGGAUGACAUCCACAUGAAAGACCUGCAGACGUAAUGAGAGGAUAGAGUUUUAAUUAAAAAUUAUAAUGUGCUGUUAUCACAUUAUUAAACAAGUUGAAUUUGUGAAUUUUUGCAGAGUACCCAAAUUUAGGAAAUAAUGUUUUUUUGGUGCAGUAUUUCUUGGACCUGCUGUGAUGAGUAAAUACUGGAUUGCAUAGACAGUCAUUCAGGGUAGAGACAGUGGGAUUAGAUGAGGGAAAAUUCAUGAACUUGCUUUGUGUAACACUCAGACACCUCAGACUGUGUGAGGGAUUUUACCAUCCAAAACAAAGGUAUGGACACGUGCUAGUCAUGACCCUUUUAGCUCUUCCCUAGAAAUUCUUGUUUCUGCAUAAAAGAAGAAACUGGAGCAGAGAAGCAGCGAGUGAGGAAAUGCUCCCUCUCCAGUCUGUUUGGAAUAAGUGUGGGAAGCUGGGGGUGAACAGGGCUGGCUGAACCUGACCUAGGCCUGUGCAAGCAAAUCUAUCUCCUGUGGCUUGCCUCCCCCUGCACCUGGGGAACAGAACCUCUGUAGGAAAGCAGGAUUCCUUCAAAGAUAGAUGGUGGCAAUUCCAGUUUUCCUUUGUCACACAGAAUAUAACCCAGGAGCCCCUGGAUUUUGUCCAACCACUCAGACCAAGGCAUUCAGUCGCUUGUCUUGAGCUCCCUGGCACCACUCAUGAAACAGUGCUGACAGACUCUUCAAAGUCUCGUGGUUUGGGUCUGUUCAGGGGGAAAAAAAAUGCCUCUUGCCACUCAUCAGAUAUGUUGGAGGGCUCAAAAAAUAGGCAUGGAAAAGCAAUGGCUGUGGCUACUGUCCUGGCUCUUCACAGAUGUUUCCCAUUCCUCAGGUUAAACUACCACUACAUCACAGUGCACUUCAUCUUCUGGAAUGAGGUUGGUGCCAUUUAUUUGUCAUCUGUAUUUUUUUCUAUAUUUGUUGUGUUUUUUAUAGUCUUGAAAGCUUAUCCCCUAUAACUUUUGGUUUUACUUGACUGGUUUCACUCACGUGGUAACUCCCUCCCAAUAUUUCCCAUCGUGGCUCAGAGUGGCCGGGGGCUGCACCAGGUGGGAGAGCCAGGAUCUCAGUGGAGCUCUGCAGUACAGGUUCACCAGAGAUACCUGAUCCAGCAGAACUCUACAUCAGCCUGGAACACAAGAUAAAUCAUUGCAAUGGAAACUGAAUCUUUGUAUUUUCUGCCCUUGCUUUGGGUUUGUUUUUUUCUCUUUUCUUCCCUUGCAAUUGUCAAAGCAGCAUCUGGGAGUUUUAUGAAACAAGUGUUACCCAAUAAAAGCCCAUUGCUGCCUGCCAGAAAGGAGAAUGGCAUCUUACUGAAAACAAUAUGUAAUGGCUAUUGCUGUCUUGUUCAAGUUAUGCCCUUGAAAAAUGCUAGGGAUUUGUAGCAACCGAUGGUGAGGAAAAGCCCAACUAAAGAGAAAAUUUACUGUUGCAUUAUCUUUUACACAGCUUUAAACACCAUCAUACAAAUGCCUGGCUUGUUUGGUUCACAGCUGCAUUUACAGUUGCUUCAAGGACAAGGAACAACACUUUUCAGUGAUGCUUUUGUUGCCUCAGUGUUGGAGUCACAAAUAAUUCCUGUCUGGUUUCACACACCGGCCUUGGAGCAGUGGUGGAGACUCCGGUCCUGACCAGGAGAGCACAACCCCAGCCAUGUGAGUAAGAGAGCCCCUGCACACACAGCACCCCUUGGGCACUGCCUGGGGGACACUAUGCCUCCCUCCAAGGACACUUUUUAACCUUAAGUUGGCACCCUCAGCACCUGCACUGCCAGGCCAAACUGCUGGUUUGCUCACAGGCUCUUAAUAUUUUUUAAUGUUUUUGUCUUAAUCUAUUUUGUAUUGUCUUUUAUUUAUUUAUUUAUUUUUAAUUUCACCUCGUGUUAAAAUUAAGAUUAAUAAAUUAAAAUUAACAGAUUUUUACAAAUCAGAUUGGGAUACACAGAUCUUUUCUCUUGAAAACACAGCACUAAUUUCUGCACACUGAAAAGCCCCUCUCUUAGCACAGCCUGGAAGCAAAAGUGGU